rnacentral:rRNA from 1 species
AACGAACGCUGGCGGCAUGCCUAACACAUGCAAGUCGAACGAGACCUUCGGGUCUAGUGGCGCACGGGUGCGUAACGCGUGGGAACCUGCCCUUAGGUUCGGAAUAACUCCCCGAAAGGGGUGCUAAUACCGGAUAAUGUCUUCGGACCAAAGAUUUAUCGCCUUUGGAUGGGCCCGCGUUGGAUUAGCUAGUUGGUAGGGUAAAAGCCUACCAAGGCGACGAUCCAUAGCUGGUCUGAGAGGAUGAUCAGCCACACUGGGACUGAGACACGGCCCAGACCCCUAGGGGGGGAAGGAGUGGGGAAUAUUGGAAAGGGGGCAAAAGCCUGAACCAGCAAUGCCGGGUGAGUAAUGAAGGCCUAAGGGUGGAAAAGCUCUUUUACCCGGAAUAAUAAUGACGGAACGGGGGAAAAAGGCCCGGCCAACUCCGGG